rnacentral:rRNA from 1 species
AAGAACUAACAAGGAUUUUCUUAGUAGCGGCGAGCGAAAAGAAAAUAGUUCAGCACUAAGUUACUUUGUCAUAAUGGCAAAUGUAAGAUGCAGUGUAUGGGAUAUCAUAAAUCUAAUAUGAGAAAUUGAUGAUUUAAGUCCUUCUUAAAUGAGGCCAUUUACCCAAAGAGGGUGCCAGGCCCGUAUAACGUCAAUGAUUAUUAGAUGAUUAUCCCAAAGAGUCGUGUUGCUUGAUAGUGCAGCACUAAGUUGGUGGUAAACUCCAUCUAAAACUAAAUAUAACCAUGAGACCGAUAGUAAACAAGUACCGUGAGGGAAAGUUGAAAAGAACUCUGAAUAGAGAGUUAAAUAGUACGUGAAACUGUUUAGAGGUUAAGCCCGAUGAACUUGAAUAUCCUAUAUGGAAAAUUCAUCGUUAUAUUUAUAAUGUGUUAAAAACAUUAUAAAAAUGGUGUGCAUUUUUUCCAUAAAAAGGACAUUGUAAUCUAUUAACAUAAAUAUAUUAUUGAAUUUAUUAUAAGAAUAAAUGAAAGAGUUUAUAUUAAUUAAAUUGCUUGCAAUUUAACAUUAUGUAAAUUCAUUUAUUUUAAUAAAGUGUUGAUAGAUGAAAUUAUAUAUAUAGUGCUAAAAUUUAUAUUUUUAUAAAUUUUGUAAUUGUAAACUUUUUUAAAAGUUUAUAUAAAUUACAUGCACUUAUAUGAUUAACAAUGCGAAAGAUUCAGGAUACCUUCGGGACCCGUCUUGAAACACGGACCAAGGAGUCUAACAUAUGUGCAAGUCAUUGGGUAUUAUAAUAUAAACCUAAUGGCGUAAUUAACUUAACUGUUUAAAAUUUAUUUUAAUGGGAUCAAUUAGUAUUAACUAGAAUUUUGUUUUAGUUAUAUUAAUGCAAUCCUGGGGCGUUCUAUACAGUUAUGUAUAAUAAUAUUUUUAAUAUUAUUUAUACCUCUAACUAGAGCGUACCUUUAGCAGAUAUGCUGUGACCCGAAAGAUGGUGAACUAUACUUGAUCAGGUUGAAGUCAGGGGAAACCCUGAUGGAAGACCGAAUCAGUUCUGACGUGCAAAUCGAUUGUCAGAGUUGAGUAUAGCUGCGGAAGACUAAUCGAACCAUCUAGUAGCUGGUUCCCUCCGAAGUUUCCCUCAGGAUAGCUGGCGCGUAUAUAUAUUAUAUAAUAAUCUUAUCUGGUAAAGCGAAUGAUUAGAGGCCUUAGGGUCGAAACGACCUUAACCUAUUCUCAAACUUUAAAUGGGUAAGAACAUCACCUUUCUUGAUAUGAAGGUAGAUGUUUUGAUAUUAUUGUGCCCAGUGGGCCACUUUUGGUAAGCAGAACUGGCGCUGUGGGAUGAACCAAACAUAAUGUUACGGUGCCCAAAUUAACAACUUAUACAGAUACCAUGAAAGGCGUUGGUUGCUUAAAACAGCAGGACGGUGGACAUGGAAGUCGUAAUCCGCUAAGGAGUGUGUAACAACUCACCUGCCGAAGCAACUAGCCCUUAAAAUGGAUGGCGCUUAAGUUGUAUACCUAUACAUUAUCGCUAAAAUAAAUGAUUUAUAUUUAAUUUCGAUUAAAUUAUAAAUUUUGAAAUUUUAAUGAGUAGGAGGGUACAAUGGUGUGCAUAGAAGUGUUUGGCGUAAGCCUGCAUGGAGCCGCCAUUGGUACAGAUCUUGGUGGUAGUAGCAAAUAAUCGAAUGAGACCUUGGAGGACUGAAGUGGAGAAGGGUUUCGUGUGAACAGUGGUUGAUCACGAGUUAGUCGGUCCUAAGUUCAAGGCGAAAGCUGAAAAUUUUCAAGUUAUUAAGAAGGCAAAAAAAAAAUAUAUAUAUACACACACAUAUAAAUUUAUAUAUAUACACUUGAUAAAUAUUUGAACGAAAGGGAAUACGGUUCCAAUUCCGUAAUCUGUUGAGUAUCCGUUUGUUAUUAAAAAUGGGCCAUUGUGCUCAUCCUGGCAACAGGAACGACCAUAAAGAAGCCGUCGAGAGAUAUCGGAAGAGUUUUCUUUUCUGUUUUAUAAUCGUAUUACCAUGGAAGUCUUUCGCAGAGAGAUAUGGUAAAUGGAUUAGAAGAGCAUGACAUUUACUGUUGUGUCGAUAUUUUCUCCUCGGACCGUGAAAAUUUAUGGUGGGGUCACGUAAACUUCUCAACAGGCCGUACCGAUAUCCGCAGCUGGUCUCCAAGGUGAAGAGUCUCUAGUCGAUAGAAUAAUGUAGGUAAGGGAAGUCGGCAAAUUAGAUCCGUAACUUCGGGAUAAGGAUUGGCUCUGAAGAUUGAGAUAAUCGGGCUUGAUUCGGAAGCAAUAACAUGGUUUAUGUGCUCGUUCUGAGUAAAUAGGAAUUCUUUGAAUUUCGUUCCUCGGAUAGUUAGUUACGUAGCCAAUUGUGGAACUUUCUUGCUAAAAUUUUUAAGGGGUUAUCUUUAUAGAUGUAUCUCUUAUUAAUUAUAACGAUUAUCAAUUAACAAUCAAUUCAGAACUGGCACGGACUUGGGGAAUCCGACU